UACGAGGGGAGCAAGCGUUGUUCGGAUUUACUGGGCGUAAAGGGCGCGUAGGCGGCGUGACAAGUCACUUGUGAAAUCUCCGGGCUUAACUCGGAACGGCCAAGUGAAACUGUUGUGCUAGAGUGCAGAAGGGGCAAUCGGAAUUCUCGGUGUAGCGGUGAAAUGCGUAGAUAUCGAGAGGAACACCAGAGGUGAAGACGGGUUGCUGGGCUGACACUGACGCUGAGGCGCGAAAGCCAGGGGAGCAAACGGG
rnacentral:rRNA from 1 species